UACAUUCAUUGGGGGUUUAGUAUUGGGGGGAGGAGGAGGAGGAGGAAGAAGAAAGAGCCUCAUCCUGAUACUCCCCAGUUUUGUUGCGUAUCGCGGAGCUGCAGAUCCGGCUGGAUGUGUGUCGCACUGGAUACAGAAAACACGCUCCUGCUAUUACAAACUGGAUGUGUGUGUGUGCGUGUGUGCGUGUGUGUGUGUGUGUGUGGGUGUGUGUUGGUUUAGUCAUGAAUUACACCUGAGCCGGGCAUGUAGUUUGCCGGGUUCCUGGGCGUGGGGAGCACGAAGGAAGCAGCUUCUUCUUGUGUUUGUUGGAAUAUUGUUGGAGUGAAACUUCAGCAGUGACUGCAGCAGCUGCGCAGCGCGACGCACGACGCACGUUGUUUCUGCUCCGCUCUGCCUCGAUCACAUCACUUUCAUCACACCAGGAUGUACAUUUGGGAACUUUUUAUUUUGGAAGCACCGUGGACACAGAGGACGAGUUUUAUUUUCUAAGUUUUGAUUCCUUGUUUUGGGGGAAUACAGACAGAAAACACGGCUGUGCAGUGAGAGGGGCAUCCAGAGGAGAGCGAGGUGGUUCAUGUCAUCAGAGACCAACAGGCCCGAACACUAAACAGGUAAGGACGGAUUCUUCCUCCGACUUUUACUUUUUAAAUCUUGUCAUGAAGACUUGUAUGAACUCAACAAUGAGCGUUUUCUUCCCGCUUUACUUUCAAACUACUUUCUCUGAACUUUCAC
rnacentral:lncRNA from 1 species